GAUGAACGCUAGCGGCAGGCCUAACACAUGCAAGUCGAGGGGUAACAGAGAGAAGCUUGCUUUUCUGCUGACGACCGGCGCACGGGUGCGUAACAGGUAUACAAUCUACCUCUUACUGGGGGAUAGCCCGGAGAAAUUCGGAUUAAUACCCCAUAAUAUGUUUGAUUCGCAUGUUUUGAAUAUUAAAGAUUUAUCGGUAAGAGAUGAGUAUGCUUCCCAUUAGCUAGUUGGUACGGUAACGGCGUACCAAGGCUACGAUGGGUAGGGGGCCUGAGAGGGUAGUCCCCCACACUGGUACUGAGACACGGACCAGACUCCUACGGGAGGCAGCAGUGAGGAAUAUUGGUCAAUGGAGGCAACUCUGAACCAGCCAUGCCGCGUGCAGGAAGAAUGCCUUAUGGGUUGUAAACUGCUUUUAUUUGGGAAGAAACCUUCUUACGUGUAAGAAGCUGACGGUACCAAACGAAUAAGGACCGGCUAACUCCG
rnacentral:rRNA from 1 species